GACGUAAGGCUCGAGUAUUCCCCCGCAAUGACUAGGGGUGUAAAGGGUGCGUAGGCGGCUCAAAGAGAGGAGCUAGAGUAACAAGAGAGAUCACGGAGGGGCUAGUGUAACGGCGGAAUGUAAAAAGAUUAGCAGAAAGGACGAAGGCGAAGGCAGUGAUCAAGAAGGACUGACGCUGAGGCACGAAGGCUGGGGGAGCAAACAGGAUUAGAAA
rnacentral:rRNA from 1 species